UUGAUAUAAAAAGUAUUUAUUUUCCUGUGUGGGAUUAAACAAAUGCAUGUGUGCUUUUGCCUUUCAUACAGAUGGCCAAGAUGACAGUAACGAAGUUUCCAAACAUUCCAAAGAACUUCCACAUUGAGUCAUCAAAAAGGUGAAUUCACAAACUCAGACGAGACAUGGCAGAAGAAAUUCUCAGGGAUGAAAUUCAAGGGAUGAGUUCUGCUCCUUCUGUGGAAAUUCUGCCGUUGCUGCCCUUUGGAUACAGUGUGAAACCUGUGGACGAUGGUUCUGUACUGAAUGCAUUGACAUGGCACCAGCACAGAUGCCAAACACACCCCUCUAUACUGUGUGUUGUGCAACUAGAAAGCCGAUAGAUGGAGCAGCUGAUAAGGCCCAGCAUUGGUAGAGAAGGGGGGUGACCACUAGGCUGUCUGGCAUCCCCAAAACCUUUUUAUUUUUACCAUGGCAUAAAUAUUCUUUCAAAUUGUAAUUUUUCCCCCUAUCUGAUUAAGCUA